rnacentral:lncRNA from 1 species
GAGGCAACCAAGGAAGAUCAACUAGAAAGAUAUCAAGAUACUCAUUCACCAUAGAAAUAUCUUCAAGUUUCUAAUCUUUUUGUCUAGCAUAGGACACUGUGGCUAGGUAUACCAUACAUGCCUCUCUGAAUAGCUGUCAGAUUUCCAAGAUAGAAAUAACUCGAGGGGAAGUGUAAGUCCCACUAUUAAUAAAACUAAAAUUUGUACCAUUAGAAAUUUGGAAAUUCAUCCUUUUCUCAUGGCAAUCAAUUAUGACAAAAUGUGAAAGCCAACCAAUCCAUACCCAAAAUUAAAUCAAAAUCAUUGAUAUCAAUGACUAUCAUAUUU